GGAUGUGAGGGAGAGUUGGCUGCCAAAUCUGUGGCCAGCGUUGAUCGGGCUGAUCUGGCUGGCGGGGCCGAGUCCCUUCCUCCCUCCUGCUGCAUAGACGUCCCCAAAGCUGUGCUCAGUGUAACCGGAGGACCUCCCACAGAAAGGAGGCGCAUUUCCGUUUCCGGUCAAGAGUGCAUGGGCAGCUGCAUUUCUCUGCUAGUUCCUCCAAACAAGCUCUCAAAAACCUCUGUAGAUCGCCGCAUGGUGGCGCAGGUCUGUAACCCCAGCACUCAGGAGGCUGAGGCAGGUGGGCUGCCACGAGUU
rnacentral:snRNA from 1 species